GUAGGUGGCAAGCGUUGUCCGGGAAUUAUUGGGGCGUAAAGCGCGCGCAGGCGGUUCUUUAAGUCUGAUGUGAAAGCCCACGGGCUCAACCGUGGAGGGUCAUUGGAAACUGGAGAACUUGAGUACAGAAGAGGAAAGCGGAAUUCCACGUGUAGCGGUGAAAUGCGUAGAGAUGAGGAGGAACACCAGUGGCGAAGGCGGCUUUCUGGUCUGUAACUGACGCUGAGGCGCGAAAGCGUGGGGAGCAAACAGGAUUAGAUACCCUGGUAGUCCACGCCGUAAACGAUGAGUGCUAAGUGUUAGGGGGUUUCCGCCCCUUAGUGCUGCAGCUAACGCAUUAAGCACUCCGCCUGGGGAGUACGGCCGCAAAGGCUGA
rnacentral:rRNA from 1 species